rnacentral:rRNA from 1 species
GACGAACGCUGGCGGCGUGCUUAACACAUGCAAGUCGAACGGAAAGGCCCCUUUGGGGGUACUCGAGUGGCGAACGGGUGAGUAACACGUGAGUAACCUGCCCUUGACUUCGGGAUAACUUCAGGAAACUGGGGCUAAUACCGGAUAGGAAUCCUUGCUGCAUGGUGGGGGUUGGAAAGCUUCGGCGGUUUUGGAUGGACUCGCGGCUUAUCAGCUUGUUGGUGGGGUAGUGGCUUACCAAGGCUUUGACGGGUAGCCGGCCUGAGAGGGCGACCGGCCACAGUGGGACUGAGAUACGGCCCAGACUCCGACGGGAGGCAGAAGUGGGGAAUAUUGCACAAUGGGCGGAAGCCUGAUGCAGAAACGCCGCGUGCGGGAUGACGGCCUUAGGGUUGGAAACCGCUUUCAGCAGGGGCGAAGCUUGUGGUGACGGUACCUGCAGAAGAAGCACCGGCUAACUACGUG